rnacentral:rRNA from 1 species
GACAGAGGGUGCAAACGUUGUUCGGAAUCACUGGGCGUAAAGGGCGUGUAGGCGGGAAGGAAAGUCAGAUGUGAAAUCCCUGGGCUCAACCCAGGAACUGCAUUUGAAACUCCCUUUCUUGAGUGUCGGAGAGGAAAGCGGAAUUCCUGGUGUAGAGGUGAAAUUCGUAGAUAUCAGGAGGAACACCGGUGGCGAAGGCGGCUUUCUGGACGACAACUGACGCUGAGGAGCGAAAGCGUGGGGAGCAAACAGG